rnacentral:rRNA from 1 species
CCCUUAGAUGUUCUGGGCCGCACGCGCGCUACACUGAUGCAUUCAACGAGUUUCUUCCUGGUCCGAGAGGAAUGGGUAACCUUUUGAAAGUGCAUCGUGAUAGGGAUAGACUAUUGCAAUUAUUGGUCUUCAACGAGGAAUUCCUAGUAGACGUAGUUCAUCAGACUGCAUCGAUUACGUCCCUGCCCUUUGUACACACCGCCCGUCGCUCCUACCGAUUGAAUGCUCAGGUGAGCCAUUCGGACUUUCAUCAUGCUGGUUUCCAGUUUUGAUGAAGGAAAGUCUUGCGAACCUUAUCAUUUAGAGGAAGGAGAAGUCGUGACA